rnacentral:lncRNA from 1 species
CUCUCUCGCGUCUUCGCUUCCAAGAUGACCAAGAAAAGAAGGAAUAAUGGCCGUGCCAAAAAGGGCCGCGGCCACGUGCAGCCUAUUCGCUGCACCAACUGUGCCCGAUGCGUGCCCAAGGAUAAGGCCAUUAAGAAGUUCGUUAUUCGGAACAUUGUAGAGGCCGCGGCGGUCAGGGACAUUUCCGAAGCGAGCGUUUUCGAUGGUGAGUGAGCUCCCGGGGCGAAUCGGUAUCUUAAUAUUUAAGAAGUGUAAUUUUUUUGUGGCGCGUAUUCGAUCCCUGGCCGAGGAACUUCCACAUGAGGCCGAAAGCUGUACAUACAUACUUUAAGACCUAAAACCACCUCUCCCCGCCAACCCGUGCGGUGCACAGGCUUUGUCGUAGUAGUGUCCGAGCAAUCUCCUUGUGUUUUUAAGGUUGUCGGUAGAAGAGAAUUGAAUCUUUGCUGCGUUUGCCACUUUGAGCUGUGUCUGGGGAGGGAGCCUUUUUGUGGUAGUGCUCACUGAGUCAUUUAAGAAAGGAAGCAUGUCUACUUAGGUUCACGAGGGUGAUCUUUGGAGCAAUAUGAUGUUGUUUUAAUCGUUUUUCUUUUUAGAGACAGUGAGCUUUUUUAGGCGGGGGCCCUGGACGGUGUUAGGGCUGAUGUGAUUGUUGAAGAAACUAGAUUCUUGGUGGUAUAACAUCUGUGGUGUGAAUUUGAUUCCCAUGAUGACAGGAUGGGUUAGUAAGGGGGUGUUUAUUCGUGAAACUAUGUUUUUAGGUGUCAGAAAGUGAAUAGUAGCUCUUUGGAGUGAAAUCUUGUAGAUAUGCCUAAAUGAGUUUGUUUACUUUUUUGUUUUUGUUUCUUUGCCAUUUCUUGGGCUGCUCCUGCGGUGUAUGGAGGCUAGGGGUCGAAUCAGAGCUGUAGCUGCCAGCCUUCGCCAGAGCCACAGCAACACGGGAUGCAAGCCGCUUCUGCAACCUACACCACAGCUCACGGCAACACCGGAUCGUUAACCCGCUGAGAGGGGGCAGGGAUCGAACCUUCAACCUUAUGGUUCCUAGUCGGAUUCGUUAAUCACUGAGCCACGACGGGAACUCCUGUUUACUCCCCCCCCCCCCCCCCAAAAAUGACCGAACUUGAGAACUUCCCAGGCCAGGGGUUGAACCUGCACCAUAGCAGUGACAAUUCCAGGUCUCUAACCUGCGGGGCCACCAGGGAACUCCUGGGUAUGUUUACUUUUGCCUGAUAGAAUGAACAAGAAAGAACUGCGUGAGGUGGGUGUGCAAUACAUGAUAUCAUACCUCUAAAUUUUCUGUUUCUUAGCCUAUGUGCUUCCCAAGCUGUAUGUGAAACUACAUUAUUGCGUGAGUUGUGCCAUUCACAGCAAGGUAGUCAGGAAUCGUUCUCGUGAAGCCCGGAAGGAUAGAACACCUCCACCCCGAUUUAGACCUGCGGGUGCUGCCCCACGACCUCCACCAAAGCCCAUGUAAGGAACUGAGUUCUUAGAGACUGAAGGAAUUCUAUCCUUUAAAAAGACAAUAAAAUGGAGACUAUACUUAAUAUGGCAUGUUGAGUGUGUGUUGCCAGAUAUAAUGGGGGUUGUGUAUGUUACAGGAACUGUAACUUCACCACAUAUUGAACUCUGGAGUGUCACAUAGUCUUUUUCAUGGAGGCCAGGGUGGUUAUGUAAGUUAAACCUCAACUCCUGUGUUUCUCUUACAUUUCUGUCUUUGACCUCCCCAAUUUGCAUAGCUAUGGGGGAGAGGAGUUAAAGCAUCUGUAUUAGGUUAAUUCAACCUGGCAUGUUGGCGUAAACUGGUGUUCUAAGAACAGGAUAAGGAGUUUUGUGAGGAACUCAUCAGGAAGCAAUUUAGACUGAUCUGGGUGUGAGUAUCUUUAGUGGGGGACACAAGGCUUUAAUGGAAGUUUAUGGCCUGAAUAGCUUCAUGGGAUCUGAUUCCAGAUCCUUAACUUCGUUAAUUCACCUCUUUGCCUUGAAUUGGUUUGCUGGUUAGCCAGUUCUCACCCAACCUUCAUCUUUCUGCAGUGAUUUUCUCUAUCAAGUAAAAAAGCCCAGGACACCAGGUAUUCUAGAAACUUGGGGGGGGUCCCACAAGAAGAUAUUUCCCCCACAAUGUGAGGAAGGGUUGUACCUAAUGUGACCUUUACAGCAAUGGUUCAUUUGUCCCAGAAUUCAGAAAUUAGAAAGUCGCCAGCUAAGGAUAUGCAGUUGAUCCUUGAACAGUGUGGGUUUAACAGUGGCGUUGUUAUGGUUUUCAACAGUUAGUUGAACUGUCAGAUGUGAAAGCAGGGAUGUAAACGGCCAGCUCUAAAGUUAGUUACAUAAGGAUUUUUUUGGUUAAGGGCCAAACCCAUGGCACAUGGAAGUUCCCAGGCUAGGGGUCACAUCAGAGCUGCAGCUGCCGGCCUGCAUCACAGCCACAGAAACACAGGAUCCAGGCCAAAUCUGACCUACACCACAGCUCACAGCAGUGCUGGAUCCCUGACCCACUGAUUGAGGCCAGGGAUCAAACCCACAUCUUUGUGGAUCCUGAGCCAAGACGGGAACUCCCAUAGGAAUUUUUGACUAGGUAGUGCCCCCUAACCCAUGCCUUGUUUGAGGAGCAACUGUAUGUAUGAAAAAUUUUUGGGGGAAUGGAUUGAAAUACACAUUUGCCGGGGAACAUGUUUUCGCAUGUGUCUAUAUUCAAAGGAAUAUGAUAGCAAAGAAGGGGUGGAGUAUUUCAGCUCAUGGGGUAGUCCUUUUAAUUGGGGAACCCUUUAUGAAAUCCCAGUUGGAAACUGUUGACCUCGACUUGCCUUCGGUCUGUGUACCAACAUGUGCUGGAACAGCUGUGGCAAGUCCUGAAUUUGUUAAAACACUGAAUGUAGGCAGGACAGUCUAUCCUUUGGAGAGACCUACAAUGUCAGCUCUUUCAUUCCUCUGUAAUGAUCCCUUUACACCAGGAAUAAAACACUGGAUAGUAGAAAAUCAGAUGCAAGGUGAAAAUGCUACCAAACCUAAUGGUUCCAAAUCCUACCUUGCUCAGUAAAACCAGAUUCAGGUAAGUCCAGGACUGUGUAAUUACUGUGAGAGUUCCCUUGAGAUAUUUAUAGACACAGCUUAUCCUUUUUUCGGGAUAGGCCUUAACUGAGAUGUAAAUUCACGUGUUCUCCCAUGAAUUUAAAAUUUGAUUCAUGAGUUUUUUUUUUUUCUCUUUUGGCGAUAGCUCUGGCAACACUAGAUCUUUAACCCACUGCAGGCCAGGGCUUAAACCCAUGUCUCAGCAGUGAUCCCAGCCAAAGAGGGCUUUCCAUGUGCUUCAGGCUCAAAUAGCCCCAGUCUACCACCAGGUGUAAGUCAGAUCUGGUAGGCAACCAGGAUAUCCAGUGUCCGCCUAGGUAGGAAUCCAUCACUUAUCACAGAAAAGAAAACCAUAUAUGUAGUCAGACAUGGCCUGCAGUUUAGUUUGAGGUCUCAGUAUAUUUGGACCACAAGAUCAACAGCUUGCUUUGCUUAAGUGUGGACUGAGGUUCUAGUAGUUGGUCACAAAGAAGACUGUAGACCUUUGAGCCUUUGCCUCCCUCCCACCCCCAGCUUGUUUUAAUGGAGUAUUGGGUAGGGGGGAGAUAAUUGCUGUCUCAGCACCUCCCUAAUAUAUUCUCUAGACUUGAUAUAUUUUCUAGGCUUGAUGCGUGAGGAGUGUUUAAACCAGUUAGAAGCCUCUGGACUCUUCCACCUAUUGAUCCAUGUUCACCUGUGAGGUUAUUGGAUUUCAAGUCAAUUCCCCGUGGUAACUAGAAUUUAUUAAGGGUCCUGGAACACAUUUUCCUUCAAACUGAAUUCCUAAAUUUUUUAUUUUUCUUCGGCUACCUCUCCAUACAAGGAAAAAGCUACUAUCACACUACUUUUUAAGUUUACACAUUUAGUGUGUUCCUUCAGUAACUAUCAGAUAUAGAGUGUUGCUUUCAUAUGCACUAACUAGCUUGUCAGAAGAGACUGAAGAGUAGAUGAAAAAAAUGGGCUGGAAUCUAUAUUCAAUUACUUGUUCAGUAAGUAGAAAUUAUGUAUGUACUUGGCACUUUAUUUCUGACUACAAGUACCCUAUUAAAACAUGUCUGUGGAGUUCCCUAGCAACUCAGCAGGUUAAGGAUCUGGCACUGCUGUGGUUCAGGUUGCUGAUGUGGUGCAGGUUUGCUCCCUGCCCUGGGGACUUAAAUGUGCUGCAGACAAGGCCAAAAUAACAUUGAGGUGAUUUUGUUCCUUUUAAUUGCUGAAUAACAUUCCAUUGUGUAAUAUGUACCACAUCUUCCUGCUCCACUCCAUGUCGAUGAGACGCCAACAUCGGAUGCUUUCACUGACAUGGAGUUUGGGGGGUGUGGACACAGUGAACUUUGCAGAGCAGAUGCUGACUCACAGACAUUGAAAAACUUAUGGUCUCCAGAGGAGACAGUUGGGGGUGGGGGAAUGUGCAUGGGUUGUGGGAUGGAAAUCCUGUGAAAUUGGAUUUCAAUGAUCGUUAUACAACUACAGAUGUGAUUAAAAAAAAACAAAAA